GGACCGGUGGUGUAACGGUAACACGUUGCGUCCGGACGUGAAAAGGAAUGAUUCGAUUCCUUUCCAGUCCA
rnacentral:tRNA from 1 species